AUCAUAUUCGUUUUGUGUAGUUUCUUUUGUUUACUAUUUUGUCAUCGGACUCGGAUUUCUUUUAAAACUGAGUUUCUCUGUGCAUAUUGUUGUGUGUUUGUUUAUUCUACAUGAGCUAGAUAUAAUUGUAUAGCGGGAGGGUUGAGAUCUAACAAAGCAUGUUUAGCCCCGCCGUAUUUUUGCGCCUGUCCCAAGACAGUAGACUCUGAUCUUUGUUAGUUUUUUUUAUGUUUUUUUUUUGUCUAAGUUAAGUGUGACGUCCAUUUUCACAUUACUAGUAUAUAUUUUUAUUUAGAGACCAGCUGAAGCCGCCUCUGGUUGCAGGAUUUUCUCGUUGUGUUGAAGACUCAUUGGUGGCCUUCGGCUGUGCUCUCUGGUUAGGCUGACUGUUGUUUCUUUGACACAUUUUUUAUUUCCAUUCUCAAUUUUAUUGAUUGAUCAAUUGAUUGAUUGAUUGAUUGAUUGAUUGAUUGAUUCAUUCAUUGAUCAUUUUACUACAAGCAAAAGUCAUGAUCAUUUGAGAAUCCUUUAUUUGUAUUGUAGUGUUAAUUUCACCAAUGAAAC
rnacentral:lncRNA from 1 species